ensembl:lncRNA FAM66D family with sequence similarity 66 member D
GAUCCGGGGCAGGCUCAGGACCAAGUCCCUCUCCUUCCACCAAGGAGCGCCCAGAGGCCGGCGGGAGCUCCAGGUUCACCUCCUCCUCCUCCAGGAAAUCCCACUUCCAGCUAGAUGUCUGCAUGAACUACUGAAAGCUGCUGAGUGUCUUGCAGCAGGCCAUUUUCAAUCCAGAGGAAGACCUUCUAAAAGAGGUGAUGGAUGGGAGAGUGCUGACAUACUAUGUGAAGCUACUAUUUGGAGUUGGACACGAGUGCAUGUGACCUUGUGCCACAGCGGGAAUGUGAGCUGGGUGACAAAUGGAGAUUUGGACUUGUGAUAAUUGGCCUCUGUGUCAUUGUGUGGAAGACUGACUGGUCCCUUUAUUUCCUGUAGCUUGACUACCACACAAAUGAAUCCAUUCAAAUGUUGGCAAGUGGAGCAGAGUCCCAGGACAGGUAAAGCACUUUCCCUGCUUUUUCUUAAGAUCAAUCCCCAUGCCUAGAAAUUAAAGUCACAUCCCACAUGAUCAUUAAAGUAGAGAGUGCAUUCUACAGGAUGAGUGAAAAGGCAUUUAUGAUUCUUGGGGGCAGAUGUUCUACAGUUGCCUGUGCUAGUUCAUGUCUUUCUGCAGAUCACAUUCUUAACCUCUAGAGAGUCUGGCAGGACCAGAGCCUUACCUUUCCCAGUCUCCAAUCUCUACAGGUACAGAAACACCCCCAGUUCAAGAAUCUUCACAUCUGAAUUUAGUCCUACACCUGCAACUACCCCAGGUAAGUUUCCUUGUUCUUCAAUGGCAAAGUUUGGACAAUGCUGUUCAAACUCCAGGCAACAAGCAACAUCUAGGGAAUGUGCUUUUAGGUAGGGUCAGCAUAAUAUCCCACCCUGGAAGACAUUUUUAUUUUAAAGUUGUAGAGGGUGAUGCUGCUGGCGGCUCCCUCCCAAUUAGCACCAUUUGCAGCCUCUUUUGAAGACAGAGAACUGAGGGCUGUCCUUCAAAUGGAGCAGUGUGAUUCCAAAAAAAAGAGAUGCUCCUUGUGGUCCUGGGACCAGGGAUAGGACUCCAGCUGAGCCUGGUGGAAGAGGUCCACGUCCUAGCCCAACGGAGAGCCAUGCAGCUGAGCUUGGGCGAUGUGGUCCACGUGGUUGUUUCUGAGUGUGUCCUGAGGUUGCUGGAUGGCUUGCAGUUCCCUAUGCAGAUCCAAUGCUUCUUUUGCUUUUUUGGUUCUGCAACCUGGAAUUUAUAUGUUCAAGAUGGAGCCAUCUCAGCCAUGACAACAGAGAAUGUACCACUCUCACAUGAGGAAGAGGGGUAGGAAGUGCUCCUGUAUCACCAGCCCUUAAUGAGACCCUGAGGAAACCACAUCAUGGAGAUCAGCCCUUCUCUCCUGUAAGGAACUCAUCCUAUGAAAGAGCAAUUAGUGCCUGCAAGAGCUGUCUCUGGGACAGCUGUUCAUGUCUAUAUCUGCAGGGUAACCCUCAUAGUCAUAUGCAGUCAUAUCCAUAGUCAUAUCGGGAGUCAGACUCCAGUUUGACUGAGUGAAUGGAGAAACUAAACAUUUAUUACUGAAUAAUAACAUUAAUAAACCAUCUUAAUGAUAGUAAUAAUAAACAUAUUGAUGAGUAUUAACAGGAAUGAUGAUUAUUAUGAUACUAAUAUCCAUAAUUAAUAAUUUUAAUAUUGAUAAUAAUACUAACCCUGUGGACUUGGGACCUAGAGAGCAGUUUCCCCUGACAAUUAUCCCAUAUUUGGCCACAUGGGGUAAUAUUGAGUUCCAGAAGGCAAAGAUUAACAUUCAGAAAAAUAGGAAAAACAACCUGCAGGUAGGCAUGUGCACACAUGGGGACUCUAUGGAUAAAUACUAAAGUGACUCUUGUUCUGGAUCUCCAUGCUAACAAACAUGCACCAGCUUUCAGGAGGUAGGACAGCUGGCUGAUGGGGCAAGGCUUCUUGAGGACAUGGCAGGAGUCAGAAAUCACACAUGCUGCCCAGCAGCAGAGCUCAUGACAAGCAGUAAACCCCAGUGAAAGGACCUGGCUGCCCUUCUGCCAUCUGCUCUCCCAUGGCCUCUGUUGACUGGUACAUCUAGGCACUGGAAUAACCUUCACUGGCUAUAGGAAGGCAUAAUCCUCAGUAUUCUCCCACCUGCAAGAAAGACAAAAAUUAACUGAAUACCAUGGCUUCUGGGUAUCCUUAGUGGGCUUAGUGUAUUUUGCAUUUGUUUUAACAGGCCAGUUAUCCAGGCAGUGACUUUCAGUACAGCUACAGUCACCUCUGGACACCUGUGGAGACUUUAAAAAUUUCCAGAAGUUCAGGAAUUUUUGGACACCUUUCUCAUGGCUAUGUUGCCUGCAAAGGUGAAUCAAUAAGCUUCUGAACUGACUUAGAAAAUGUUGCAGAGACUCUUGUGAGCAGAUAGACCCUCUCCUGCCACUCCAGAUAGACAUAUCUGGGUCACACACACCUGAUUUAACAACAUCUUGUUAUCUCAGGUGGGCAACAGACAGCAAUUUAGGACCUAUCCCAGUGUGGAUGAGAGAUAUUGAGUUGGCUUAGAAACAUGUUAGAUAGACUAGAUGGGGCAAGAAAGCCCAUUCUGGGGCUCAAAAGCCUGCACAUAGAGUUGCUGGCACAUAAAUGGUAUGUAUAAAUUCUUUCUCAGCCCAUGAGAUCAGGAUGUACUUCAUCAGUAUACCAUGCUGGUAUGAAGAGAUUCUUGCCUCAAAAGGGACUCAGAAUAUUUCAGGGAACCUGUAUUAGUCCAUUUUUACACUGUUGUAAAGACAC